rnacentral:rRNA from 1 species
AACGAACGCUGGCGGCAGGCCUAACACAUGCAAGUCGAGCGCUACCUUCGGGUGGAGCGGCGGACGGGUUAGUAACGCGUGGGAACGUGCCCUUCUCUACGGAAUAGCCUCUGGAAACGGAGAGUAAUACCGUAUACGCCCUUUGGGGGAAAGAUUUAUCGGAGAAGGAUCGGCCCGCGUUAGAUUAGGUAGUUGGUGGGGUAACGGCCUACCAAGCCUACGAUCUAUAGCUGGUUUUAGAGGAUGAUCAGCAACACUGGGACUGAGACACGGCCCAGACUCCUACGGGAGGCAGCAGUGGGGAAUCUUAGACAAUGGGGGCAACCCUGAUCUAGCCAUGCCGCGUGAGUGAUGAAGGCCUUAGGGUCGUAAAGCUCUUUCGCCUGUGAUGAUAAUGACAGUAGCAGGUAAAGAAACCCCGGCUAACUCCGUG